GGCGGAGGAAGCUCAUCAGCGGGGCCACGUGCUGAGUGCUCGUCACUCCCCGGCCCCUGGGAAGGUCUGAGACUGGGGCCUCCCGCGGCCCUAACCGGGCCCUCCCCGAGCGGGGAGGUGAGUUCCCAGAGAGCAGGGCUCCACGCGUGGGCAGACUGGGCAGGAGAGGCCCCCGAGCGGGCGGAUGCCUCCCUCGCCGGAGCUUGGAACAGACUCACGGCCAGCGCAGAUCGAGUUCAAUGGCUGAGGUGAGGUACCUCGCGGACCUCAUAACCCAAUUCAGACUACUCUCCCCUGCC
ensembl:ribozyme RNaseP_nuc Nuclear RNase P